rnacentral:rRNA from 1 species
UACGUAGGGUGCAAGCGUUGUCCGGAAUUAUUGGGCGUAAAGAGCUCGUAGGCGGUUCGUCGCGUCGGCUGUGAAAACCCGGAGCUCAACUCCGGGCCUGCAGUCGAUACGGGCUGGCUUGAGUGCGGUAGGGGAGACUGGAAUUCCUGGUGUAGCGGUGAAAUGCGCAGAUAUCAGGAGGAACACCGGUGGCGAAGGCGGGUCUCUGGGCCGUAACUGACGCUGAGGAGCGAAAGCGUGGGGAGCGAACAGG